GUGGGGAAUCUUCCGCAAUGGACGAAAGUCUGACGGAGCAACGCCGCGUGAGUGAUGACGGUCUUCGGAUUGUAAAGCUCUGUUAAUCGGGACGAAAGAGCUCUGUGUGAAUAAUGCAGAGAAGUGACGGUACCGGAAUAGAAAGCCACGGCUAACUACGUGCCAGCAGCCGCGGUAAUACGUAGGUGGCAAGCGUUGUCCGGAAUUAUUGGGCGUAAAGCGCGCGCAGGCGGGUUUUUAAGUCUGUCUUAAAAGUUCGGGGCUUAACCCCGUGAGGGGAUGGAAACUGGAAACCUAGAGUAUCGGAGAGGAAAGCGGAAUUCCUAGUGUAGCGGUGAAAUGCGUAGAUAUUAGGAAGAACACCAGUGGCGAAGGCGGCUUUCUGGACGAAAACUGACGCUGAGGCGCGAAAGCCAGGGGAGCAAACGGGAUUAGAUACCCUGGUAGUCC
rnacentral:rRNA from 1 species